rnacentral:rRNA from 1 species
AACGAACGCUGGCGGCAGGCCUAACACAUGCAAGUCGAACGCUCGUAGCAAUACGGGAGUGGCAGACGGGUGAGUAACGCGUGGGAACGUACCCUUUGGUUCGGAACAACUCCGGGAAACUGGAGCUAAUACCGGAUGAGCCCUACGGGGGAAAGAUUUAUCGCCGAAGGAUCGGCCCGCGUCGGAUUAGCUAGUUGGUGAGGUAACGGCUCACCAAGGCGACGAUCCGUAGCUGGUCUGAGAGGAUGAUCAGCCACACUGGGACUGAGACACGGCCCAGACUCCUACGGGAGGCAGCAGUGGGGAAUAUUGGACAAUGGGCGCAAGCCUGAUCCAGCCAUGCCGCGUGAGUGAUGAAGGCCUUAGGGUUGUAAAGCUCUUUCGCCAGGGACGAUAAUGACGGUACCUGGAUAAGAAGCCCCGGCUAACUUCGUGCCAGCCGCCGCAGUAA